rnacentral:rRNA from 1 species
UACGGAGGGUGCGAGCGUUAAUCGGAAUUACUGGGCGUAAAGCGCACGCAGGCGGUUUGUUAAGCUAGAUGUGAAGGCCCCGGGCUCAACCUGGGAUGGUCAUUUAGAACUGGCAGACUAGAGUCUUGGAGAGGGGAGUGGAAUUCCAGGUGUAGCGGUGAAAUGCGUAGAUAUCUGGAGGAACAUCAGUGGCGAAGGCGACUCCCUGGCCAAAGACUGACGCUCAUGUGCGAAAGUGUGGGGAGCGAACAGG